GCGGAUGUAGCCAAGUGGAUGAAGGCAGUGGAUUGUGAAUCCACCAUGCGCGA
rnacentral:tRNA from 1 species